GAUGAACGCUGGCGGCGUGCCUAAUACAUGCAAGUCGAGCGAACGGGCGAGAAGCUUGUUUCUCUGAGGUUAGCGGCGGACGGGUGAGUAACACGUGGAUAACCUACCUAUAAGACGGGGAUAACUUCGGGAAACCGGAGCUAAUACCGGAUAAUAUUUUGAACCGCAUGGUUCAAGAGUGAAAGACGGUCUUGCUGUAACCUAUAGAUGGAUCCGCGCUGUAUGAGCUAGUGGUUAAGGUAACGGCUUACAAAGGAAAGGAUGGAUAGCCGACCGGAGAGGGAGCUGCCACACAGGGAAAGUGAGACGGCGCAAAGACCCACACGGGAGGCAGGUGUAGGGAAUUCUGCGAAAGGGGCGAAAGCGUGACGGAGCAACGGCGCGAGAGUGAAGAGGUUCUGCGGAUCGUAAAACUCUGUUAUGAGGGAAGAACAGGUGUGUAAGUAACUGUGCACAACUUACCGGUACCUAAUAAGAAAGCAACGCUAAACUCCGU
rnacentral:rRNA from 1 species